rnacentral:rRNA from 1 species
UGGGGAAUAUUGGACAAUGGGCGCAAGCCUGAUCCAGCCACGCCGCGUGAGUGAUGAAGGCCUUCGGGUUGUAAAGCUCUGUCGUGAGGGACGAAGGUGGCAACACUUGACGGUACCUCACAAGAAAGCACCGGCUAACUCCGUGCCAGCAGCCGCGGUAAUACGGAGGGUGCAAGCGUUGCUCGGAAUCACUGGGCGUAAAGCGCACGCAGGCGGUCUGGUAAGUCGGACGUGAAAGCCCUGGGCUCAACCCAGGAACCGCGUUCGAUACUGCCCGACUUGAGUACGGGAGAGGGAGGUGGAAUUCCUGGUGUAGAGGUGAAAUUCGUUGAUAUCAGGAGGAACACCGGCGGCGAAAGCGGCCUCCUGGCCCGUUACUGACGCUCAUGUGCGAAAGCGU